GUGAAUCAUCAAAUUUUUGAACGCAAAUUGCACUCUCCUCGGAGAGUAUGCCUGUUUGAGGGUCGGCCUAUAAAAAUCGACAUCGUUGCUGUUUCGCGGUGGCGUUCGUCGGAAAUUGGGUCAUAUUAAAUCCUUUUGGUUUAAGCGACUUAAAAAUUUCUUUUUGGUUCCAUGAACGUUUCUAAGAUUUAUUUCUUUACACGUUUAAGGUAUCGAUUUUUAUUAGACUUGACUAUCAUAUCGGAUUGAGGCUAUAAUGUUUCAUUAACUG
rnacentral:misc_RNA from 1 species